GACGAACGCUGGCGGCGCGCCUAACACAUGCAAGUCGAACGGAGCUGAGAGAAGCUUGCUUUUCUUAGCUUAGUGGCGAACGGGUGAGUAACGCGUGAGUAACCUGCCCUGGAGUGGGGGACAACAGUUGGAAACGACUGCUAAUACCGCAUAAGCCCACGAUCCGGCAUCGGAUUGAGGGAAAAGGAUUUAUUCGCUUCAGGAUGGACUCGCGUCCAAUUAGCUAGUUGGUGAGGUAACGGCCCACCAAGGCGACGAUUGGUAGCCGGACUGAGAGGUUGAACGGCCACAUUGGUACUGAGACACGGCCCAGACUCCUACGGGAGGCAGCAGUGGGGGAUAUUGCACAAUGGGGGAAACCCUGAUGCAGCGACGCCGCGUGGAGGAAGAAGGUUUUCGGAUUGUAAACUCCUGUCGUUAGGGACGAUAAUGACGGUACCUAACAAGAAAGCACCGGCUAACUACGUG
rnacentral:rRNA from 1 species